GAAGUCGUGGACGCGCAUCACUGAGCUUGUCCGAGACGACCGCGUUAAGUUCAAAGGUUUGGGUCGUGUAAAGUCCUCUGAAGCUGCAACUGUACCCGUUGGUGCUCAUUGAAGUCUAGAUAUGGAGAAAAAUCCUGUUUAUUCCCCAAAAACCUUCACUUCCGCUGGAAUAAAGACAAAGGCACAUCCUAGACGACACAGGGCGAUACUUCUGGAUAGAGGUCUGCAUUCUGGAUAGAGGUCUGCAUUCUGGAUAGAGGUCUGCAUUCUGGAUAGAGGUCUGCAUUCUGGAUAGAGGUCUGCAUUAGAGGUCCGCAAAUAAAUUUCCGAAUAAAGCACGGGAGCG